CAUCUCCUUCGUGUCCUUUUGUGAAACAAUGAGGAAGGGGAAGGUCAAUAUUUCAUCUCCACUAUCUGAUGUGAAUUUCUAGAAUGCAUAUAUGGAAGGAAUAUGAAGAUUUGAAGUUGAUAUCUCGAAGAAGUAGUUAAAGCUGGAAAUGACCAUACUUUGGGUUUUGUUACUAGUGGAUC